rnacentral:tRNA from 1 species
AUUUAUAUAAUAUAUUUAGUAUAUUUGACUUCCAAUCAUAAGGAUUAACUUUAGUUAAUAUAAAUA